ACUUUUGUAGCUUAAAUUUAAAGCAUAGCACUGAAGAUGCUAGGAUAAGUUUUACUUCGAGAGUA
rnacentral:tRNA from 1 species